CCCUACUUGCGCGAGCUGAUGCAGCCACGCCGCGUGAAUGAUGAAGGCCUUCGGGUUGUAAAGCUCUUUUCUCAGGGAGGAAAAUGCCUGCUGUUACCCUUUGCCUGACCGUUCCCUUACAAGAAGCCCCCGUUUAAUUCCUGCCCCCGCCCCUAUCAUUCGGGAGCCACCACCCGCGGU
rnacentral:rRNA from 1 species